UAGGGAAUCUUCCACAAUGGACGCAAGUCUGAUGGAGCAACGCCGCGUGAGUGAAGAAGGUUUUCGGACCGUAAAGCUCUGUUGUUGGUGAAGAAGGAUAGAGGUAGUAACUGGCCUUUAUUUGACGGUAAUCAACCAGAAAGUCACGGCUAACUACGUGCCAGCAGCCGCGGUAAUACGUAGGUGGCAAGCGUUGUCCGGAUUUAUUGGGCGUAAAGCGAGCGCAGGCGGAAGAAUAAGUCUGAUGUGAAAGCCCUCGGCUUAACCGAGGAAUUGCAUCGGAAACUGUUUUCUUGAGUGCAGAAGAGGAGAGUAGAACUCCAUGUGUAGCGGUGGAAUGCGUAGAUAUAUGGAAGAAUACCAGUGGCGA
rnacentral:rRNA from 1 species